UACGAGGGGGCUAGCGUUGUUCGGAAUUACUGGGCGUAAAGCGCACGUAGGCGGCUUUGUAAGUUAGAGGUGAAAGCCCAGGGCUUAACCCUGGAAUUGCCUUUAAGACUGCACCGCUAGAAUCGUGGAGAGGUAAGUGGAAUUCCGAGUGUAGAGGUGAAAUUCGUAGAUAUUCGCGAAGAACACCAGUGGCGAAGGCGGCUCACUGGCCCGGUACGUGACGCUGAGGUGGCGAAAGCGUGGGGAGCAAACAGG
rnacentral:rRNA from 1 species